GUAUGUGUUAGUCAUUCUCUCAUAGCCACCUGGCUCUGAUGGAAAGAAUCUCAGAGAUGGAGAACUGGUGAAAUUUAUAUUGAAAUUCCUGCCGCAUUCACCAACUCACAAGAAGGAAACAAGUGCCCAAACACUGAGCUAAGGAAUGAAGUGCUUCUGCUGAAUCAGUAAUCAGGGACAUGGGACAGAGUCAUACUGUUUUAAAUCUUCAGUAUUCCUAAGAGUAAACAAAUAUCCAGUGAAGCAACUUAUGGAGGC